rnacentral:tRNA from 1 species
UGAGUUGUAGCUCAAUGGUAGAGUGCUCGCCUAGCACGUGCGAGGCCUUGGGUUCAAUCCUCAGUACCACAU